rnacentral:rRNA from 1 species
UACGUAGGGGGCUAGCGUUGUCCGGAAUCAUUGGGCGUAAAGAGCGUGUAGGCUGCUCGGUAAGUCCGCUGUAAAAGUCAAAGGCUCAACCUUUGAAUGUCAGUGGAUACUGCCGGGCUAGAGUCCGGAAGAGGCGAGUGGAACUGCGAGUGUAGAGGUGAAAUUCGUAGAUAUUCGCAAGAACACCAGUGGCGAAGGCGGCUCACUGGCACGGUACUGACGCUGAGGAGCGAAAGCUGGGGGAGCGAACAGG